rnacentral:tRNA from 1 species
CCGGGGUGGCGAAAUGGGUAGACGCUGGGGACUUAAAAUCCCCUGGGCCAUGUGCCCGUGCGGGUUCGAUUCCCGCCCCCGG